CUCUCGCUCUCUCGCUCGAGCUCUCUGACACAGUCUAUCUAUGUAUCUGUCUGUCUAUGUCUCUCUCCUUCUCUUUCUCAAAGAGUUAAAAAUGUUAAGGGUUAAAAAGAGGGAAAAUGACCAAUUUAAAAGAGGCAGAGUGUAAAUUUACCCAUUUUAGAAACAAUUGUUAUAUAGGGUCGGUCCAAAGCGGUUAAUCAUAUCAUCAAAUUAGGUUCUCUCACGAUCCACAAGUUCGUUACAUUCACACACAUAUAUAUAUAACACUGGUACUGGUAUAUAUAUAUAUAUCGUAAUCUCUGUAACUAGCGAUUUGGGAAUUGAGAUCUGUGUUUCUCUCUCAAAUCGUCUUUGACAAAGAUGUAUGGAUUCGAAGCAAUGACAUUCAACAUCCAUGGCGGUUACCUGGAAGCGAUCGUGAGGGGAUACAGAUCUGGUUUGCUCACCGCCGCCGAUUACAACAAUCUCUGCCAGUGCGAAACCCUAGAUGACAUCAAGAUGCACCUCCCCGCUACCGAAUACGGACCCUACCUCCAAAACGAACCUUCCCCGUUGCAUACAACUACAAUUGUGGAGAAAUGCACUCUUAAACUGGUUGACGAGUACAAGCACAUGCUAUGCCAAGCCACAGAGCCAUUGUCAACCUUUCUUGAGUAUAUCACAUAUGGUCACAUGAUUGACAACGUUGUCCUGAUCGUUACUGGAACCUUGCAUGAGAGAGAUGUUCAGGAAUUGUUAGAGAAAUGCCACCCUUUGGGCAUGUUUGACAGUAUUGCUACCCUGGCAGUUGCUCAGAAUAUGCGGGAACUAUAUAGACUGGUGCUUGUUGACACGCCUUUGGCUCCGUACUUCUCUGAGUGUAUCACAUCUGAGGGUUUGGCAUUAUCUUCAAUUGGUGAAUACAGGAGGGCUGAGGAGGCACAUAUGAAAUCAAUUCAACUUGAUCCAAGUUUCCUUGAGGCAUGGGCUCAUUUAACACAGGAGGUUAUAGGAAUGUCACUGCUUGCCCGAAGUGUCCUCUUGUAAGAGAAGAGAUUAGAGAGUUCAUGUCCAAAAAAAAGACACAAAAAGAAGAAAUGAACAUGUUGCUUGAUUUUGAUGACAUGGACAUGGAAGAUGAAGAUGAAGAUGAUGAUGUCGUUGAGAUCAAUGUCAAUCAACACCGCAAGUUGACAAGUAGUAGCCAAGGUUCAUUCAAAUCCAAAUCCGAAUCCAAAUCAAAAAUGCCAAAGAGAAAAGGGCCUAUGGAUGUUUACUUCACACCCAAUCCUGAAUCAGUGGUGAAAAAUCGAAAAGACCAAGCAAAAGGGAAACAAACCAAAAUUGAUGCAAAUGACCCUUACAAAAAAGCAAUGAGAGCUCGGGCACUGCAAAGAUUUGCAAGGUGGAUGCAUGAUGCUGGUAUCCCUUUUAAUGCAAUAAAUUAUGAGAGUUUUGGACCAAUGGUUGAAGCCAUUGGCCAAUAUGGUCCUGGUAUGGUAUGAAGCCACCGACUUACCAUGAAGUGCGGGUUACCCAACUCAAAAAAGAAGUGAAACAUACUGAAGAUUUGAUGAAGUAUCAUAAAGAGAAUUGUGCAAAAUACGGGUGUUCCAUAAUGGCUGAUGGUUGGACUGAUAAGAGAGAAAGGACAUUGAUUAACUUUUUAGUUAAUUGUCCAAGAGGAACCAUGUUUGUUGAGUCGGUUGAUGUUUCUAGCUAUUCAAAGUAUGGGCAAAAGCUAUUUGAAUUACCAGACAAGUUUGUGGAGAAAGUUGGAAAAGAGAAUGUGGUGCAAGUUAUCACUGAUAGUGCUGCAGCUAAUGUGUUGGCGGGUAAGAAUAUUUCCUCAUUCCUUACAUCAAAAUUGUUUACUCAUAGUUUGUUUUGUAUUUAAAAUUUAAAAACUUGAAAAUAAUAAUUCUUCAUUAUUGUUACAUUAUAGGGAGGUUUUUGGAAGCUAAGUAUGAACACUUGUAUUGGACACCAUGUGUUGCUCAUUGUUUGGACUUGAUGUUAGAAGACAUUUUCAAGAUACCUAGACUGAAAAAGACAUUUGAAAGGGGUAUUGCAGUACAUGGCUACAUUUACAAUCGGCCUACGUUGCUAAACAUGAUGAGUCGCUAUACAAAUUUGAAGAAUUUGAUCAAGCCUGCAAAAACUAGAUUUGCAACCGCCUUUUUGACUUUGUCUAGGAUGCAUCAACAAAAAAACAAUUUGAGAAAGAUGGUUACCUCCGAAGACUGGACCUCAAGCAAAUGGGCAAAGGAGCCAUAAGGUAAAAGAAUGGCACAAACUUUGUUGAUGCCUUCAUUUUGGAAUACUGUUGUGUUUGCCCUUAAGGUCUCGGGUCCUCUUGUCAAAGUGCUUAGAUUGGUUGAUACCGAGAAGAAACCUCCCAUGGGAUACAUUUAUGAGGCAAUGGAUAGGGCAAAAGAAUGCAUUGCAAGUUCAUUUGAUCAUAAAGAAGAGAAGUAUAAUGAAAUCUUCAAAAUCAUUGACAAAAGAUGGGAAGUCCAAUUGCAUCGACCUUUACAUGCAGCUGCGCAUUUUCUUAACCCAGAAUUCUUUUACCCAAAAGCGUUAGAAGUGCAAAGAGAUCAUGAAGUGAUGAAUGGGUUUUAUGAAUGCAUGCAAAGGUUGGUCCCGGAUGUCACUGUUCAAGAUUUGAUCACUAAUGAGAUGAGUAUUUAUAUGAAGGCUGAGAGUCUUUUUGGCAAGGCUGUUGCGAUUAGGCAAAGAAAUACAAGAGUACCAGCUGAUUGGUGGGCAUCAUAUGGUUCUUAUACUCCAAACUUGCAAACUUUUGCCAUAAAAGUCCUUAGCCUAACAUGUAGUUCAUCGGGUUGUGAACGAAAUUGGAGUGUAUUCGAACAUCUUCAUAGCAAGAAAAGAAAUAGAUUUGAACAACGUCUCAAUGAUUUAGUGUAUGUCAAAUACAAUAGAACAUUGAGAUUUAGGUAUGACAUGCGCAACACUCUUGAUCCCAUAUCUUUGCAAAAUAUUGAUGAAAACAAUGAGUGGUUGCUUAAGAGGAUGGAUUGAGAAUCAGAAGAAGAUAAUGAGCCUGUGUUUGAUGAUGAUGAUGGCUUGACGUGGGCCACUGUUGCUAGAGCUUCUGGAGUAGAAGAAAGUAGCCAUGCAAGUAGAGCAACAAGUUUACGCUCAAAGGCACAACCGAGGAUAUUUAAAUCAUCAACAUUGACUCCACUUCAAUUAAUAGAUGAAGAGGAAGCGGGCUCAGAUGACACAGAGGAGGAAGAUGUUGAGGGAUACAAAUCAACUGAUGGAGAAGAAGAUGAUAGCUUGCUUGCCAUUGAUGUUGAGGAUGAUGAUUGACUGACACCGACCUAACCUACCAUUUCUUUUGAUGUUGAUGUUUUUAAGUGUGAAGACAUAUAUUAAUAUUUGUUGGAUAUUUAUGUUUUGGAUGUUUAGUGUUUAUGUUUUUAUUUUAUUGAAUGUGGAUUAUUUGAUCUUUGAAAAUUAAAAUGUUUUGUAAUAUGCACUUUCAUGGC